rnacentral:tRNA from 1 species
ACAGCAUUAAGUUAAUUAGACUACUAGCCUUCAAAGCUAGAAGUUUAGGCUGUA